UUGGUAGUGCCUUUCACGAAGGCGUAACUGCUUUGAUUGGAAUGACCGACGGUACCGCGUGCGACGUCUGCGGCGGCGAAGAUAACAUCGAACAUUUAUUGUGCUUCUGUAAGCGAUUUCAGCCA
rnacentral:lncRNA from 1 species